AUAAAAUUUUUAUUUUUGAUUAAUAAUUAGUUAUUUUAUAAUUUUUAUAUAUAAAAUUUUUAUAAAAAUUUAAUUUAAAUAAUUAAAUUUUAUUAAAAUUUAAUAAGUAAUUCUGUUUAAUUAAUUAAAGUUUAAUUCGGUUAAUAAAAUAAUUAAAGUUUAAUUUAGUGCCAGCAAAUGCGGUCAAACUAAAUUUAAAAAUUAAUUUAUUUAAUUUUGAAAAAUAUAAAAUAAUUAAUUUUAAAUAAAUUAAUUAAUAUUUAGUGAAAUAUUUUAUUAAUAGAAUAUUUUAAUUUAAAUAUAUUUAUAAAUUUUAAAAAAUUUUUUAAUAAACUAGGAUUAGAUACCCUAUUAUUAGUAAUUAAAUUAAAAAAUUAAUUAUUAAAUGUAAACCAUUAAAAUAAAAAAAUAUGGCGGUUAUAUAAAAUUAUUAGGGGAAUCUGUAGAUUAAUUUGAUGAUCCACGAGAAAAUUUACUAAAAUUAUAAUGUUAGCUUUUGUAUUGUUGUUUACAAAUUUUGUAUAAAUAUUAUAAUUUUAAUAUUAUUAAAUAUAAUAAGAAUUCAAAUCAAAAUAAAGUUUAUUUUAGAUUUUAUGGGUUACAUUAAAUAAAAUUUUUAUUAAUUAAUUAAUUUAAUUUAAUUAAUGAAAAGGAUUUAAAAGUAAAUUUAAAAAAUUUUUUAAAUUGAAUAUUAAAUUAUAUAAUGUACAAAUUGCCCGUCAAUAUCAUUUAAAUAUGAUGUAAGUCGUAACAAAGUUAGAGUAUUGGAAAAUGUUCUAAUUG
rnacentral:ncRNA from 1 species